AUAAACGCUGGCGGCGCACAUAAGACAUAGCAAGUCGAACGGAAGUCGUACUAAUUGAAGUGGAUUGAAGAUUAUUGGAUGAAGCAGAUUUAAUACAAUGGCUUAGUGGCGGACUGGUGAGUAACACGUAAGCAACCUACCUAUUAGACGGGGAAUAACAAUGAGAAAUCAAUUGCUAACACCGCAUAAGCUUGUAGGACCGCAUGGUCUAGCAAGAAAAGGAGCAAUCCGCUAAUAGAUGGGCUUGCGGCUGAUUAGCUAGUUGGUUAGGUAACGGCUGACCAAGGCAACGAUCAGUAGCCGGGCUGAGAGGCUCUGCGGCCACAUUGGGACUGAGAUACGGCCCAGACUCCUACGGGAGGCAGCAGUCGGGAAUAUUGCGCAAUGGAGGAAACUCUGACGCAGUGACGCCGCGUAUAGGAAGAAGGUUUUAGGAUUGUAAACUAUUUUAGUCAGGGAAGAAAAAGACGGUACCUGAAGAAUAAGCUCCGGCUAACUACGUGCCAGCAGCCGC
rnacentral:rRNA from 1 species